rnacentral:rRNA from 1 species
CCUACGGGAGGCAGCAGUGGGGAAUAUUGCGCAAUGGGCGCAAGCCUGAUCCAGCAACGCCGCGUGAAGGAAGAAGGCUUUCGGGAUGUAAACUUCUUUUCUCAGGGACGAAACAAGUGACGGUACCUGAGGAAUAAGCCACGGCUAACUACGCGCCAGCAGCCGCGGUAAUACGUAGGUGGCAAGCGUUAUCCGGAUUUACUGGGUGUAAAGGGCGUGUAGGCGGGGACGCAAGUAGGAUGUGAAAGCCACGGGCUCAACCUGUGGACUGCAUUUGAAACUGUGUUUCUUGAGUACUGGAGAGGCAGACGGAAUUCCUAGUGUAGCGGUGAAAUGCGUAGAUAUUAGGAGGAACACCAGUGGCGAAGGCGGUCUGCUGGACAGCAACUGACGCUGAGGCGCGAAAGCGUGGGGAGCAAACAGGAUUAGAUACCCCUGUAGUC